rnacentral:lncRNA from 1 species
GGGCAAUAUAAAUAACAUGCAUUAUUAUUAUUAUUAUUUAAUUGUCCUAAAAUAAGCUUCAAUAUCUUUUAUCUUAACCACAUUUUUUUUUUAUAGUGACAUUAGACAUUAUUUUCAUGAGAUUUAAGCACACAUUUUAUAUCCCAUUUUUGUCUUGAUUUUGGUGUAAAAUCAUGAUCUGGGUGUGCUUUGUGAGAUUCACUCAAUUCGUGAACCGCCAGUGUUGAUUUCACUGCUGAAAUCUGCUGUUGUACCUCUAAUAUAGUCCACCUGAUCGAUACAGCGCUGUAUAUCCAGAGAGCAUGAUGUGGAAUAGUCUUGUGCAGUUUUAGGUGAAUAUAAAGUUGGAAAGCCAUUCUCUGCUCAGGUGUCAUUUGAAUAUAAUGUAACUGUUGCCAUGCAUUCUUCUACCAGCAGAGAGCGCGGUCUUCAGCCAAACAUACGAAACUAGAGCGAGAGUGGAAAGAUCCACUGAUGCGUUGCUCGGUUUGUGUUUGUAUGCAUGUGUCAUUUUGUUUACUUUUCAUGUUUAAUGUUGAUUUAAUGUCCAGUGUGUGUCGAUAUAAUGCUCUAUAUGCACAUACAAACACACACAUCACGUCUGACUGACUGCUGAGUGUCUGUCAUGUCCUGCUUUGAUCAAAUCAAGCGUCUUUGAUCAAUAUGAUUAUCAUAUGAAACUAUAUUUUUAAUUAAGCAGCACCUGAAUGUACAUAAACGGCAUGAAAUUCUUCUGCUCUCAUUUGCAUCUUGUGUCUUGUUCUGAGGUGAUUUUAUGCAUCGUGUUUUGUUGUUGAUCGAGCGUUGUUCGAUGACUUGGUGGAGGAUUGCUGCUUGUUAGUUAUAAUGUAAAUGAGGACAAAACUGAUGUUGUUGUCGACUGAAAGUGAAGGAAAUGCAAAAUUUUGUUGACUUUCUUUAUUCUUUCACUUUGUCUUUCAUAUGUGGUUCGCUUGUAUAAAGUUCUGUAAGGGCCGUGUUUGUACAGCCUCUCUUUAUGAUGGCCUAGAAGAAUACAGAAAUAAAUAACAAAGAAUUAUGAAACGCACCAAACUUCCCGUCUGAACUUCUUGAUUGUUUUAGAUUUCAAAAUCGAUUGUUUGAUUAUUGAUGCUUUACUCGAUUUCCACACUGCGUGAAUUAUAUUAAAACACGUUUUUUGAGAGGUCAGCUUUUGUAAAGGAGUUUUUAAAGGUCAUUUUUCAGGGUGAUUAGUUAAUGCACUGAAGCCAUUAAAAACAACAAAUAUCACAUGCAUGC